rnacentral:rRNA from 1 species
AGCGCGCGUAGGUGGUUAAUUAAGUCAAAUGUGAAAUCCCCGAGCUUAACUUGGGAAUUGCAUUCGAUACUGGUUAGCUAGAGUAUGGGAGAGGAUGGUAGAAUUCCAGGUGUAGCGGUGAAAUGCGUAGAGAUCUGGAGGAAUACCGAUGGCGAAGGCAGCCAUCUGGCCUAAUACUGACACUGAGGUGCGAAAGCAUGGGGAGCAAACAGGAUUAGAUACCCUGGUAGUCCAUGCCGUAAACGAUGUCUACUAGCCGUUGGGGGAUUUGAUCCUUUAGUGGCGCAGCUAACGCGAUAAGUAGACCGCCUGGGGAGUACGGUCGCAAGACUAAAACUCAAAUGAAUUGACGGGGGCCCGCACAAGCGGUGGAGCAUGUGGUUUAAUUCGAUGCAACGCGAAGAACCUUACCUGGCCUUGACAUAGUAGAGACUUUCCAGAGAUGGAUUGGUGCCUUCGGGAAUCUACAUACAGGUGCUGCAUGGCUGUCGUCAGCUCGUGUCGUGAGAUGUUGGGUUAAGUCCCGCAACGAGCGCAACCCUUUUCCUUACUUGCCAGCAUUUCGGAUGGGAACUUUAAGGAUACUGCCAGUGACAAACUGGAGGAAGGCGGGGACGACGUCAAGUCAUCAUGGCCCUUACGGCCAGGGCUACACACGUGCUACAAUGGUCGGUACAAAGGGUUGCUACACAGCGAUGUGAUGCUAAUCUCAAAAAGCCGAUCGUAGUCCGGAUCGCAGUCUGCAACUCGACUGCGUGAAGUCGGAAUCGCUAGUAAUCGCGGAUCAGAAUGCCGCGGUGAAUACGUUCCCGGGCCUUGUACACACCGCCCGUCACACC